rnacentral:rRNA from 1 species
GAGGGACAAGAGCCCUUAAACGGCCGCAUUAUAACUGCGCAAAGGUAGCAAAAUCAUUUGUCCUCUAAAUAGGGACCCGUAUGAAUGGCCACAUGAGAAAGGGACUGUCUCCUUGAGCCCGCCAGUGAACCUGAUCUGUCUGUACAAACGCAGACAUGCAAAAGCAAGACAAAAAGACCCCGCGAAACUUUAGGUGUUCGUCAAAAAUUAAAUGACCAAAACACCUUAGGUUGGGGCAACCAAAGAGAAACGCAAACCUCUUGUCCAGUCACACGGCAAACAGGCCAACUGACGCCAAACCCGACCCAGUACCACUGAUCAAAGAACCAAGCUACUCCGGGGAUAACAGCGCCACAUUCUUGAAGAGUCCACAUCAACAAGAAUACCUACGACCUCGAUGUUGGAUUAGGGUCCCCCGAUGGCGCAAAAGUUAUCAAAGGUUCGUUUGUUCAACGAUUAAAACCCCACGUGAUC